UAUCUAUAAUAAUAUUCAAGAUAAUAACCAAAAACAGCAAAAUUUCCUUAAAAAUUUCCAAUUCAGGGGCAGCAACCCAACAACCAGUUGUCGGAUUCAUCUGAAAAUUUCAGGACAGAUAGAUCUUGACUUGCAAAACAAUUUAACCCCAUGUCUGAAUUGCUCCUAAUGCUUUGGUUUCAGAUUUAUAAGCCAAAAUCUACAUUUGACCCCUAUGUUCUAUUUUUAGCCAUGGUGGCCAUCUUGGUUGGUUGGCAGGGUCACCGCACACAUUUUUUAAACUAGAUACCUCAAUGAUGAUUGUGGCCAAGUAUAGUUAAAUUUUGAACAAAUAGUUUCAGAGUAGAAGAUUUUUGUAAAAGAUUAGAAAAAAUUAGGAAAAAUUGGUAAAAAAUGACUAUAAAGGGCAAUAACUCCUUAAGGGGUCAACUGACCAUUUUAG
rnacentral:lncRNA from 1 species